GGGGGGUUAGCUCAGUUGGCUAGAGCGCGUGAAUGGCAUUCACGAGGUCGGGGGUUCAACUCCCCUACCCUCCACCA
rnacentral:tRNA from 1 species